GUAGAACGCUGAAGAGAGGAGCUUGCUCUUCUUGGAUGAGUUGCGAACGGGUGAGUAACGCGUAGGUAACCUGCCUUGUAGCGGGGGAUAACUAUUGGAAACGAUAGCUAAUACCGCAUAACAAUGGAUGACACAUGUCAUUUAUUUGAAAGGGGCAAUUGCUCCACUACAAGAUGGACCUGCGUUGUAUUAGCUAGUAGGUGAGGUAAUGGCUCACCUAGGCGACGAUACAUAGCCGACCUGAGAGGGUGAUCGGCCACACUGGGACUGAGACACGGCCCAGACUCCUACGGGAGGCAGCAGUAGGGAAUCUUCGGCAAUGGGGGCAACCCUGACCGAGCAACGCCGCGUGAGUGAAGAAGGUUUUCGGAUCGUAAAGCUCUGUUGUAAGUCAAGAACGGGUGUGAGAGUGGAAAGUUCACACUGUGACGGUAGCUUACCAGAAAGGGACGGCUAACUACGUGCCAGCAGCCGCGGUAAUACGUAGGUCCCGAGCGUUGUCCGGAUUUAUUGGGCGUAAAGCGAGCGCAGGCGGUUUGAUAAGUCUGAAGUUAAAGGCUGUGGCUCAACCAUAGUUCGCUUUGGAAACUGUCAAACUUGAGUGCAGAAGGGGAGAGUGGAAUUCCAUGUGUAGCGGUGAAAUGCGUAGAUAUAUGGAGGAACACCGGUGGCGAAAGCGGCUCUCUGGUCUGUAACUGACGCUGAGGCUCGAAAGCGUGGGGAGCGAACAGGAUUAGAUACCCUGGUAGUCCACGCCGUAAACGAUGAGUGCUAGGUGUUGGAUCCUUUCCGGGAUUCAGUGCCGCAGCUAACGCAUUAAGCACUCCGCCUGGGGAGUACGACCGCAAGGUUGAAACUCAAAGGAAUUGACGGGGGCCCGCACAAGCGGUGGAGCAUGUGGUUUAAUUCGAAGCAACGCGAAGAACCUUACCAGGUCUUGACAUCCCGAUGCUAUUUCUAGAGAUAGAAAGUUACUUCGGUACAUCGGUGACAGGUGGUGCAUGGUUGUCGUCAGCUCGUGUCGUGAGAUGUUGGGUUAAGUCCCGCAACGAGCGCAACCCUUAUUGUUAGUUGCCAUCAUUCAGUUGGGCACUCUAGCGAGACUGCCGGUAAUAAACCGGAGGAAGGUGGGGAUGACGUCAAAUCAUCAUGCCCCUUAUGACCUGGGCUACACACGUGCUACAAUGGUUGGUACAACGAGUUGCGAGUCGGUGACGGCGAGCUAAUCUCUUAAAGCCAAUCUCAGUUCGGAUUGUAGGCUGCAACUCGCCUACAUGAAGUCGGAAUCGCUAGUAAUCGCGGAUCAGCACGCCGCGGUGAAUACGUUCCCGGGCCUUGUACACACCGCCCGUCACACCACGAGAGUUUGUAACACCCGAAGUCGGUGAG
rnacentral:rRNA from 1 species